rnacentral:rRNA from 1 species
GAUGAACGCUGGCGGCGUGCCUAAUACAUGCAAGUCGAGCGAACGGACGAGAAGCUUUCUUCUCUGAUGUUAGCGGCGGACGGGGGAGUAACACGUGGAUAACCUACCUAUAAGACUGGGAUAACUUCGGGAAACCGGAGCUAAUACCGGAUGAUAUUUUGAACCGCAUUGUUCAAAAGUGAAAGACGGUCUUGCUGUCACUUAUAGAUUGAUCCGCGCUGCAUUAGCUAGUUGGUAAGGUAACGGCUUACCAAGGCAACGAUGCAUAGCCGACCUGAGAGGGUGAUCGGCCACACUGGAACUGAGACACGGUCCAGACUCCUACGGGAGGCAGCAGUAGGGAAUCUUCCGCAAUGGGCGAAAGCCUGACGGAGCAACGCCGCGUGAGUGAUGAAGGUCUUCGGAUCGUAAAACUCUGUUAUUAGGGAAGAACAUAUGUGUAAGUAACUGUGCACAUCUUGACGGUACCUAAUCAGAAAGCCACGGCUAACUACGUG